GAUCCUGGCUCAGGACGAACGCUGGCGGCGUGCCUAAUACAUGCAAGUAGAACGCUGAAGGGAGAGUUUGCUCUUCUGGAUGAGUUGCGAACGGGUGAGUAACGCGUAGGUAACCUGCCUGGUAGCGGGGGAUAACUAUUGGAAACGAUAGCUAAUACCGCAUAACAUUGACUAUUGCAUGAUAGUCAAUUGAAAGGUGCAAAUGCACCACUACCAGAUGGACCUGCGUUGUA
rnacentral:rRNA from 1 species